UACGUAGGGUGCGAGCGUUAAUCGGAAUUACUGGGCGUAAAGCGUGCGCAGGCGGUUAUGUAAGACAGGUGUGAAAUCCCCGGGCUUAACCUGGGAACUGCGCUUGUGACUGCAUAACUCGAGUGUGGCAGAGGGGGGCGGAAUUCCGCGUGUAGCAGUGAAAUGCGUAGAGAUGUGGAGGAACACCGAUGGCGAAGGCAGCCCCCUGGGUCAACACUGACGCUCAUGCACGAAAGCGUGGGGAGCAAACAGG
rnacentral:rRNA from 1 species